CCUACGGGUGGCAGCAGUGAGGAAUAUUGGUCAAUGGGCGCGAGCCUGAACCAGCCAAGCCGCGUGAAGGAUGACGGCGCUAUGCGUUGUAAACUUCUUUUGUACGGGAAUAAAGUGCGCCACGUGUGCCGUUUUGAGUGUACCCUAAGAAUAAGGAUCGGCUAACUCCGUGCCAGCAGCCGCGGUAAUACGGAGGAUCCGAGCGUUAUCCGGAUUUAUUGGGUUUAAAGGGUGCGUAGGCGGUUUGAGAAGUUAGCGGUGAAAGGUCGGGGGUCAACCCCGAAAGUGCCUUUGAUACUGGCGGACUAGAGAAUAGUUGAGGUAGGCGGAAUGCGUGGUGUAGCGGUGAAAUGCUUAGAGAUCACGCAGAACACCGAUUGCGAAGGCAGCUUACC
rnacentral:rRNA from 1 species